rnacentral:rRNA from 1 species
UACAGAGGGGGCAAGCGUUAUUCGGAAUUAUUGGGCGUAAAGGGCGCGUAGGCGGCUUUGCAAGUGACGGGUGAAAUCCCUCGGCUUAACCGAGGAACUGCCUGUCAAACUGCAUGGCUUGAGACCGGGAGAGGUGAGUGGAAUUCCCAGUGUAGCGGUGAAAUGCGUAGAUAUCAGGAGGAACACCGGUGGCGAAGGCGGAUCUCUGGGCCGUAACUGACGCUGAGGAGCGAAAGCAUGGGGAGCGAACAGG